rnacentral:rRNA from 1 species
AAUGAACGCUGGCGGCGUGCCUAACACAUGCAAGUCGGAUGUGCCGCAAGGUGCAUGGCAGACGGGUGAGUAACGCGUGGGGAAUCUACCUUUUUGUGGGAAUAACGCUCCGAAAGGAGUGGUAAUACCGCAUGAGACCAGUGGCUGGGAUGCUGCUGGUGAAACCUGGGGACCGCAAGGCCUGGGGGCAAAAAGAGGAUCCUGCGUCUGAUUAGCUAGUUGGCGGGUAAUGGCCCACCAAGGCGACGAUCAGUAGCCGGCCUGAGAGGGUGAUCGGCCACACUGGAACUGAGACACGGUCCAGACUCCUACGGGAGGCAGCAGUGGGGAAUUUUGCGCAAUGGACGAAAGUCUGACGCAGCAACGCCGCGUGGGUGAUGAAGGU